GAAGAUCGAUUAUGGGGGAAGCUGAGCGAUCUACAAGAGGAAGAAGAAGAAGAAGACGAGGGUUUAUAGAGGGAGGAAUGCGACAGCGGCGGAAGAUUUCGUGGCUUUUGUUCGAGAGAACCAUGCGCCGCAGGGAGAAGAAGCUUUCCCGGCGGUAGUGGCAGAUCAUCCUCACGUCUUUUAUGGGGGUUUUCGCUUCCUGAUAUGCACGAAGGAGGACAGCGCCGAUGAGAUCAACUCGACGCUACCUUUCAACGUUUUCACGGAUGGUUCUUUGCCUCCAUGGAGAGAGAUGGAGGUGUUCGAUGGAACGAACGCCCAGUUCUGGGAGAGGUGGUGACGAAUGGUGACAAUGCUGGAGCAUCGCCACGGCAUCUGUCCAAGCAUUCUCAUCCUCGGGAUCGAUGAAAGAGUCGUCCGCUACUCCUGGUCCUGGUAGCAUAAACAAGCCCAGGUCGAUAUCGAGGGCUGGAGAGAUUCGCAGCCUCUCAGGAGCCAGCCAAUGAUCGGGUCCCCGCCCCACUUCUGGCGAUGCGCUCCAGCCCCCGCUCCAUGCCUCCACCCUGUGCAUUAAAACCACCUGGACCGUUUCCGGACCCGAGUUGAAUCCCCCUGGACCGCUCCAGGAGAGCUUCUGGCAUUUGGAUUAAAUCCUCGUCCAAGUCGUCUCAAGCCGAGGAAAUAAAGAAGAAAAGCGUGGUUCCCGUAGUCUCCAUGGAGGAUUUGUCAAGUGGGAGAUGGGAAAGAGGGACGAUAGAAAAGAUAGCAUUGCUGUUCCGCUUGUAGAGCGUCACGAAGUGGGAUGAUCUUCGGAUUGUGAUUUGUGUGGCUACUAUAAAGCUUUGGAAGUUCUGAGUUGUGAUUUUUAUUUCUAGCGGCAGAAAGAAGUGAGCAGUACAUCGGACAUGCAAGAGUCUGUCCAGACAAGUCCACUCCUACAUUAUCGAGCCAUCUCUCUCGAUUUUUGACUUCCUGGCAUAUGUAAGUUUAUAUUCCCAAACAGGAAGUAGUGCCAAAGAGAAUCACGGAGAUGGAAGAAGCUUUGUCCAAACGCGAUUUCUCUUCCUUUGCCAAGACGGACAGCAACCAGUUCCAUGAAACUUGCCUCGACACCUCUCCACCAUUUUUCUACAGGAACGAUACCUCCAGAAGGAUCAUUGGACUCGUGGAGAGCUGGAACAAGCCCGAAGUCCUCAGGCAGAGUACACUUUUGAUGCUGGACCAAAUGCAGUGAUUUUUUUUCCCCAGAAAUUUGGAGGAGCGUUGCUGCAUCGUUUGCUCUACAAGUUUCCCCCGGAAGGCAUGGAUUUAUCAAGGGCUUUUGGAGGCUUUAGGCCCG